AUUUGCUCUGAUUUACUCAGUUAUCACUAGCCAAUUGUCAUCUGAUAUUUUAGUUUACCAAAUAGUAUGUAGAGUCAAUGUAUAUUUGUCAUUUGACUAUUUUACAGCAUUUUUUCCUGAGAAAAGCUGCAUCAUUUGAAAAUAUCCAAAAACAUUUCAGCACACAGUCUACUCAAUUAAAGAUCACUGUCCCACGGAGUCCUUCCUGGACAGAAGAAAUAUUUGCUCAGGAUUCCACAAUAUGAACGUGUACUUCGGUGUCCCAGUGUACCUUUGGAUUUAAAUUUUGACAAAAGUGCCCAAAUUAAAAGAAUUCUAGAACAUAAUGAUCCUCAAACAUGGGCUCCUGAGAUGGUGUCUCAGUUUAAGCAAAAGAAGACAACCCCGAGAGUUAAAAUAUCUGUUGACAAAGACUCAUUUGAAACAGUGAAACAAUCAGCAAAGCUGGACUUGAGUGAUUCUUUGACCUGUGGUCUUCCUCCAGCAGUCAUUAAACAUUAUGAGUCCGAAGUGGAGAUCUUGACUGAAGAAAUAAAUAGUAAGAAGAAAUAUCCUGCAUUUUUAUACUGUAGGCGUGGAGCUCUUAAUAGGAAACUGGGAAAGUUACAGAGUGCCAUGAAUGAUCUACAGGAAGCUAUAUUCUUGGAGCCAUUGUUCCUCAAUGCCUAUUGGCACCGACAUUUCAUUUAUCUUUUCCAAGACAAAAUUAAUGAAGCUUUGGAUGACUUGAAUUUUAUAAAUAAAUACAAUAAAAAUAAUGCAGGUGGGUUGUCUGUGCAGUUAUAUCUUAACAUAAGCUUUGGUCAUUUAGUCAUAUAAAGAUACAUAAUUUAAGACAUAUAAGUCUCCACAAAUGUUUG
rnacentral:lncRNA from 1 species